UGAGGAAUAUUGGUCAAUGGGCGGAAGCCUGAACCAGCCAAGUAGCGUGCAGGAUGACGGCCCUAUGGGUUGUAAACUGCUUUUGAAGGGGAGUAAAGUGAGUGACUUGUCAUUCAUUGCAAGUACCCUUGGAAUAAGGACCGGCUAAUUCCGUGCCAG
rnacentral:rRNA from 1 species